GCUGCUAUUGGGAUUUCCUUCAUACAGUUUUCUAACAAUAACUCCAUGAGAAACCACUACAUCUUGGGCUUGUCAUUGUUCCUUGGAAUAUCAAUACCUCAAUAUUUUGUCAGUAACUUCACCAUGGAUGGGCAUGGACCUGUUAAAACAGAUGGUGGUUGGUUCAAUGACAUAUUGAACACAAUUUUCUCAUCACCACCAACCGUGGCAAUGAUCAUUGGAACACUACUUGAUAACACACUUGAUGCGAGGCACACUAUCAAUGAUAGAGGAAUUUCAUGGUGGAAACCUUUCCAGCACCGCAAGGGUGACGUUCGAACCGAGGAGUUUUACAGUCACCCUGUGAGGAUAAGAGAGUGGUUACCGUCUAGAUUUCUCUGAGAAAACACUUCAACUAGUUGUAUAGUAGCCAUACAACAAGUAAAUUUCAUGUUAAUAUGCAUUAUGAGGCCUGUUCUCUAAUCUUUUGAAGUUGGACAAAACUCUUUUAAGUGUUGGCAUUUUUUUGUGCUAAUUAUAUGCAUAUUAGUUAUAUAAAAAUUAGAACAAAAAAAUGCCAACACUUAAAAGAGUUUUGUCCAACUUCAAAAGAUUAGAGAACAGGCCUCAUAAUGCAUAUUAACAUGAAAUUUACUUGUUGUAUGGCUACUAUACAACUAGUUGAAGUGUUUUCUCAGAGAAAUCUAGACGGUAACCACUCUCUUAUCCUCACAGGGUGACUGUAAAACUCCUCGGUUCGAACGUCAC
rnacentral:misc_RNA from 1 species